rnacentral:lncRNA from 1 species
CGGGGAGCUCGGCUCUUGAGACAGGAAUCUUGCCCAUUCCCCGAACGAAUAAACCCCUUCCUUAACUCAGCGUCUGAGGAAUUUUGUCUGCGGCUCCUCCUGCUACAUUCUGAGUGGGGAAAGGGACUAAGGUGGUCUGAGGACCCCACAGAGUCAGGAAGAUUGAGAGCUGAUAAAGGUCCUGCGGGCAGGACAGGACCUCCCAACCAAGCCCUCCAGCAAGGAUUCAGGUGCCCCUCCGGCCUCGCCAUG